UACAGAGGGAGCAAGCGUUGUUCGGAAUUACUGGGCGUAAAGGGCGCGUAGGCGGUUCGAUAAGUCCCGUGUGAAAUCCCUCGGCUCAACUGAGGAAUGGCACGGGAAACUGACGGGCUUGAGUUCGGGAGAGGGAAGCGGAAUUCCGGGUGUAGCGGUGAAAUGCGUAGAGAUCCGGAAGAACACCGGUGGCGAAGGCGGCAUGCUGGGCAGUGGCUGACGCUGAGGCGCGAAAGCGUGGGGAGCAAACAGG
rnacentral:rRNA from 1 species